UUCGGCCACAUCACGUUGAAACACCAGUUCUCGUACGAUCACCUAAGUUAAGCAAUGUUGCGUUUGGUCAGUACCUAGAUAGGUGACCGUUUGUGAAUAACAGUUACUGUAUG